ACAAAAACGUUAUAAUUUUCUUGAACUUUACUUGUUUAUAUCUUUUUUUAAGUUAAACAUGAAACUUGAGAUUUUUUGCAUUAUUCAGUUUAAAUUUACCUUUUCCAACCAUUUAUAGAAAGUACUAUUUACUACUUUAUAUACUAUUUAUAUGGCUUCACUUUAUUUUACUUUUCAGAGUUUCAGAGAAAAGUUAUGUUUUUAUCCUUGCUGAAAUUAAAAACAUUUUAGUAAAUAAAACUGCACAGUUUUCUAAUGAUCCAGAAGGUUAUACACAACUUAAAAGUUCAGAUGAACUUAAUGUUUUGAAAAGAAAAAUUGCAAAUGGAGAUAUCCAAUACAUCACUUUUGUAAAACAGUUAUCAUUAAUUGGAGACUGACAACAGACACUAUUUUCAGAAUGCAGCAUGAAUGGUCUAAAGAAGAAAAAAAAGUUGAAAAAGUUGACAAGUCUAUAUAUCGCUAUCACUGAUGCUGCCUCAAAGUCAAAUAAAAGUUUAACCAAAAUGGAUUUUAUGCAACUUAUUGGAAGAUUAAUUAGGCAUUCUUCUGACUGAUUCAAGAGAAAAUCUACCAUUAUCGAUAUCGAUCAACGAUGGCUUAAUUAACUUCAAUCAACUGUUGUGUUUUUAUUUAUUUUGCAUUUUACAGUAAUUUUCUGUUUACUUAUAAUAUAUUAUCGAUUAUACUUUACAAAAUAUAUUAGUUUUUAAUUUGGAAAGUGUAACUUUGCUUGAAUAAUUUUUCCAAGUUUUUUUAAAAUUAAUAAUUUAUUUUAAAUAUAUGAAAUUAUACUUUAUGAACUUUGAUUUCUCUUUAUACCUUAACUUGCCAUCUAAGGUGUGUAUUGUAUAUCAUUGCAUUUUUAUAUAACUUUUAAAAGAAUGUCUAGGUAAAUUUACGUCUCUAGGAUGUCUAAAUAAGAUGUCCUUAAGUCUUUCACAUGAGACCUGCCAGAGACGUCCAUAGGACGGCUGAAAAAACGUCUCUAGGACGUCGACAAUAAACGUCCCUAGGACAUCUUGAAAAGACGUCUUUAGGACGUCUGUAAUAGACGUCCUCAGGUCUUUCAUUUGAGAUCAACUAAGGACGUCAAACGGACGAGACCUGAGACGUCUUAUAAACGUCCUUAGGACGUCAAAAUGCUUGCUGGGUAACCUUGUUUAGUGAAUAUUUUUACAAAAUUUCAAUAAAAACGGGCAAAAUUUUGCGGGAGACAUGUUAUUUUAGAUUAUGGAGUGGGAGAUUUUUAACGCAAAUUUAACACCGAGAUUUAUGACCUGAGUCUUUACUAAAAAACCAAAAAAUAUUUAAUUUCAAACAAAAAAAUGAGCAGAAAAGCUAUUACCUAUGAAUAAUUUAUGCAAUUUCACCAGAAAGGUAAAACCGCUUGUGAAAUUGGCAAAAAAAUAAAGCGAUCACAUAGUUCGGUGCUAAUAAUCAUCGAACAAUUCAAAGAGAUAAAAUCUUACGUUGAUCGCCAUCGUUCUGGAAGACCGCGUUUUGAUGACACCUAAUGAUAAUCGCCUUUUAAUUAGGUUGGCAAAGAAAAAUCGAACCAUAUCGUCGCAUGAAUUAAGAAGGGAAUAGAAGCUUUUAAAUCCUCUCAGUAUUAUCUUGUUCUAUCUACAAAUGUAAU
rnacentral:lncRNA from 1 species